UGAAUGACAAAGAAAACGUGGCACAGCCAUGGAAUGAAAUAUUAAUCAUCUUUGAAAAUGAAGCACUACUUCAUGCUACAAUGAGGAUGAACCUUGAAAUAUAUCAAGUAAAAGGAACUAGACACAAAAAGUGACAUAUUAUAUAUUUGCAUUUAUUUUUUGAUUCUCUUUAAAUGUCUACAUUAAGCAAAUAAUUAGAGGCAGAAAAUAGAUUUAUGGUUUCCAGGGGUUUUGAUGGGCAUGGAUAGAAAAUGACUGCUAAUGUUUUCGGAGUUUCUUUGAGGGGAUGAUAAAAAUGUAAAAUCAGAUAGUGGUGCUUGCUGCACAACCCUAUGAAUAUACCAAAAAUCAUUGAAUUGUAUACUUUAAAAGGGUAAAUUUUAUGGCCUAUAAUUUGUAUCAGUCAGUGCUUACUAUAGAAACAGAUUUAAUCCAAGAUAUACAAAUAUAUAAAGAUUUACAAGAUUGGUUUACAAUGGCUGCCCACAAAAUCAAGUAUUACAAAAUCAGGUGUGGAAGAGUGGAAAAAGGUCUGUCUGCAUGAUCCAGAGGAUCCAGUCGAAGGCUCACUGUAGUGUCCUGGGCAAGUCCAUAUCAGGAGGCUGAAGGGUCUGCACUGAAAGGCUGAAGAUGAUAUCCAAGGUGAAGGUGAAGACUAGAGCUCCUUGGAAGAAACAGAAGCAAGGCUUCCGUCUUCAUUUCCCCUUUCUACCAUUCAGGUGACAGGCCAGCCUAAGUGCUGCUAAAUGAUAUGAUUAAAGUCAUAUAGGAAAAUGACAAAUCAUUCAUCAAGAACCACAACCCGAAGUUACAGGGGUGAUAAAAUGGAGCUGAAAGCCAAAUAAUCCAGUCCCGGUCAUGCAGUUAACUACUCAAAUCCAGUCAUCUCGAGUGUGGUGUGUUCACACACCCUGCUUUCUCUUCUCCGCUGCUCUAUCUACCCGACUUGGUCAGCAGUCUCAUGCAUUACUAACUCUGUCUGGAGACAGCAGCCCAGGUGAAGUAUGCCUUCUAGAAAAGUGAGAAAUUACAGUGCCAAAGACACAGCCCUCUGAGGUGACUUAGAAUCAACUGGGCCGAGAUUCUGCACUUCUAGCAAGCUGCCUUGUGAUCCUAUCAUAUUGCUGCUGGUCCAUGGAUCCAAGCAGAGGAAGCUUAAGAAGACUGUUGUGGACAACAGUAGAUAAGAACUCAUCUUACUUUUCAAAUAAGGCCCUUUUUCUCACAGGUUCUGCGGAAGAAGAAACAAUCAGAGAGAUAACUCUGUGAGUUUUCACAAUAAAUGCAAUCAGCAGCACAAUAAAUUAUACAUUUUCAUCAUCCCUAGUAUACCUCCAUGUCCUUUGUGGCCAACCAGUGAGACCCCUUGAUCUGUUUUCUGCAGAAUGUCAUAUAAAAGAAAUCACAGCAUUUCAAUGCAGUCUUUUGAUAAUGGUUUCUUUCAUUAACUACAGCAUUAAAGCUUUAUUCUUGGUUUAUGUAUUAUUAUCACUUCCUUUUUUCACUGAGUUGUAUUUGCUUAUAUUGAUAUAUCACAUCUUGCUUAUCUAUUCCAUAAUUGAGAGAUUUUUUUUAUUUUGGUUAAUCUAAAAAUGGUAAAAAUGCAUGUAUAAAUUUUUGUGUGAAUGUAGGCUGUAUUUCACUUGACUAACAAGUGAAAUAAAAAUAACAAACAAUGAGAUUGCUGGGUUGUACGUCAAAUGUAUGUUUAUAAGAAACUAUCAAAGUGUUUUCCAUAGUUCUUUUCUUACAGUCUCACCAGAGUUCCAGGUUUAUUUUUGUAGUUUACUCACUCUCUCAAUGUCAUAAAUUAAUUUGCC
rnacentral:lncRNA from 1 species